rnacentral:piRNA from 1 species
UGGUAGAUUUGUAAUUGGUGGUGAC